UGCGCAGCGCGUGGCGCAGCACCACGUUGCGAAAGCUUACCCCCUUCAGGCGCGCGGUGCGGAUAUAUUGCGCGGUCAUCACCUCGGUCAUCGAGGCCCGGGUCAUGCGCGCGAUAUAACCCACCCCGUAGAUUGAGAUCGUCAGGACCGGCAGGGCGAAGUUGUCGAAGGUGAUAUGC
rnacentral:ncRNA from 1 species